rfam:Populus trichocarpa scaffold_8_contig_58, whole genome shotgun sequence.
GCUUAUUCUUACUAGUGAACUCUCUUCCUUUAAAUUGAGAGUGAGAGAUGUUUAUGUUUCCGAAGCAUAUAUUGAUUUAUGUUAUUGAUAAUAUUAAACUACACAGUGCUAUUUUUGGUUCGCAAGACUGUGUUGCCUAUCUCCUGGCACAUGU